rnacentral:rRNA from 1 species
ACGGAGGAUCCGAGCGUUAUCCGGAUUUAUUGGGUUUAAAGGGUGCGUAGGCUGGUUUUUAAGUCAGCUGUGAAAUACCGACGCUUACCGUCGGCACUGCAGUUGAAACUGGGAGCCUUGAGAGUGCAAGAGGCAUGCGGAAUUCAUGGUGUAGCGGGGAAAUGCAUAGAUAUCAUGAAGAACUCCGAUUGCGACAGCAACAUACUAGGACAUAUCUGACGCUGAGCCACGAAAGUGAGGAAAUCAAACAG